UACUUCUAGCUAGCUCAAUGGAACACGGAGGACCCCGUUACCAGACGAGACAGCAUUUCGGUGGAUCGUCGUCGAAAUCCAGGAAGAGAUUAUCUGGCCAAUACUGGGUGUCUAAGGACUUUGAAACGCAUAGAAGACAAAGAUCUCUUGGUGGAGGAUAUCAUCAUGUUUCAGGUGGUUCAUCGAGCCAGUGGAGCACUUCAAAGAUUCCGGGAUGAAGACCCUUGGUGUUCUUGAUGCAAUAAGAAUGCACCCAGAUGCUUUCAGACCGCUGUUUUGUCACGAGCCAUCCCCACUCACAGCUGAUGUACUAGAACAGCUCUUUGAAAUUUGACUGUCAGCAGAGGGCAGCAACAAAAGAAGGGCAGAGGAAUGGGUGGUUGCAUUUUGGAGGGACUACCUGCUGGAUGUUGAGGAGCAAGAGGGACCCUUGCAACUUGGGGGUAUCCUGGCCUUUGCGACGGGAGCAAAUGUAAUUCCACCCCUGGGCUUCUCCCCACGACCUUCAGUGGAUUUUCUCCAUGAGCUGCCCCUCAGACAAGGCCGUCAUUUACCCCCUGCAAACACAUGCAUUAACUGCCUGCGGUUGCCAGUCCUGAAAAAAACUAUGGAUUUUGCAUUAAAAAACACUCAGGGAUUUGGUCAGGAAUGACUUCCGAGAACUCCUUAACAUACAUUAUUAAAAUCUGUUGCCUGUUGAACUUGACUAAAUUGAUGAGCCAUCGUUGUCAAUAACUCACCAUUUCCUAAUACAUUAUUAAUGUCGUGUUUAAACAAUUGAAAAUGG